UCUAUAUAACACAUACAUACCCAGACCAUUGAUUCACUACAAUUCACUUUAUAAUUUCGAAGAGUUAGGGUUUGUUUUCUCUCUACUCCGGCGAGAAAUGCCGCCUCGAUCUUCAGGUUUAUUUGGAAGUAUUGCUUAUGGCAUGAGUGAAGUCGGAAAAAUGAAAGUAAGGGAAUGGGCAUGGAUUGGUUAGUCUUUACAAGGACAUGUACACUUGUACAGGAUAUGCAGACAUACAAUCGCAUGCACCAACUCUAAGUAAGGGAAGAAUUGACAAUGAUGAUGACUCCCGAUUGGCCAAAGUAGAGAAGCAAGUCAACAAAAUUCAUGCACUUUUGCUACAAGGCCAUAAGGACAAGAGGCAUGAUGAGGAACGACUGACCAAAGUGGAGAACCAAGUUGGUAAAAUUCUUGAGUUGUUAGAACAACGCAUGCCAUUUGAUGGAGGACAUGUUAAAACACCACCAAGCAAACUACCUGAGAAGCAGCGAGUUGACAUUGAAAUAGUUGAUCUUAAUGUUAGUGGUAUCGAAAAGUUUCUGGCCAAUUCCACGAAGUUUGAAGAUGAGGAUCGGAUAGGGAAGAUGAAUGAGAAAGAAGCAAUGGAGACUCCGCGUUUGAGAAAACCAAAUUUAGUCCUCAUACUACUUGGAAAUAAAUCAUCUAAAUUGAUGGCGCCAAAGGCAAAGGAAGUUGCAAAGAAACAAGCAAAAUUGGUGGAUGGGGAAUCUCUAAAUAAUGAACAACUUUCUAUUCCACAAAAGGGGCGAUCAUGCACGAAAAAGGGCCCUACAAAACCAAUUGAAGUCAAUGUUGUAACAAUGUCAUCAUCAUGUAAUGUUGUUCGUGGUCCUCAGACUCAAGGGACCGAAAAUUGCAAAGCCAGUCAGUGGUUGCGUACACCUUUUGUGAAAUUGGAUCUAGCUGAAGCCAUCGCCAAACAACAACGUUGACAAUAACAUAGAUGGCAAUCUCAAUCAAGGGAAUAUCUUGUGAGGAUGAUACUCCACUACGAGGAAGUACAAUCUGUAACUCACAAGGAAUUGUGGUCGUUGAAACCAUAUCAAUGGAUAUCUUCAUGUGUUAUAAACCUUCUUGUUGUGAAGUUGACAAAUAAACAGAGGAAAAAGUAUCCAGAUAAGGAUCACAUGAUUUGGUACUUUUCGACCAUGUAUCGCAAAAGAUUUUGUGUCAUCCUUCUGAUGACACAAUGAAAGACAUAGUAGAAGAUUAUUUUGGGAUGGACAGAUACACUGGCCCCCUUCAUGCUUGUAAGGAGAUUUGCAUGCUCUUCAACCAUGGGCAAAACCACUGGCUGUGCUUGAACGUAAACAUGGAAAAACGUGUUGCCUAUCUAUUCGACUCCAGCAGAUGUAUUGCCAGCCAUGAGGAUCAAGAAAAUCAAGCUAGAUUGUUGAUAAUAGAAUAACCAUUACAAUGCCAAUUGUACCAUCUUUUUUGUUUCUUGAUCUAUAUACCUUACUACCUACCACCAACAACUACAAUCACUGCAUGAGCUGCUUUAAUAUGCCCAUGGAGAAGAUUAUGUCCAAGGCAUUAGUUCAUUUGCAUUUCAGCGGUUGGAAGACAUGCCACGCCAAGACAACAAAUAAUCCACUACAUUGUCGUCCUUAAUUUUCAAAUAAGCAUUAAUGUUGUAAUCUUUAAGUUUGUUGACUCUAUUGUUACAACUACACUCAUUCCCAAAGCUAUGAUUGUGGUCUUUUCGUCAUCAAAUAUAUGCAAGGGAAACCUUUGCCUUCAGGUGUAAUCAAGCAAUCAGAGCUGGGGGUGUAUGAGAUCGUCCCCACCAUAUUUUGCUCUUUUGUUAUUUUGAGAUCAUUUGAGAUCUUGUCAUGGGGACAACUGUUUUGGAGUCCAUUGGCAGAGACUUGAAGAAGGAUGAAAAUAACUGAGGAUCAAGGUUCAAGAGGAUUUUUGUUCAAUCCAUGAUCUUUUGGUCUGAGCCUUGGUCUAGAUAAUAGUUUUUGAUUGGCUAAUAUACAUUUUUGUCUCAAAAGCAAUAGUCCUUGGCUUUAAUUGGACAUUGGUAAUUUUGCUGAAAUGAUGUGCACAAGGAAAAAGGAAGGUUAUAAAUUUUCAAGUUUCAUCUUCAUUUGUUUGAAUUUGUUAGUCCAUGCCAUUCACAUCUAUAUAACAAAACGAGGCUGAUUUUGAAUUUUUUUCCUAAAUAUUAAUAGACAUUUUAACCAGCCCUGACCUGAAGUUGUCACCAUCAUAUGCAUUCAUGGCUGAUUGAUUCCAUUCAUGUCGAUUUUUUAGGUCUGACCUUUCUGUUUGUUUUUUUCUCUGUUGUGGGUUUUGGCCCGAGGGGACCAAGUACUGGAUUGAAGUUGGUUUUCCUUCAACUACCAAAAUUCAUAUAUGUGAGAAAUACUGGGAAAAACAUUUUCAAAUAUUCAAUGCUUUUUGCAAAACUAUCAAUUUGUGAAGGAGUUGAGUGUCUACUGAGAAAACAAAUCCUUUUUUUGAACCCUGCAUGAACAUUUCUGGCUAUUUUUUUUAAAUUAUUUUUUUAUUUCUUUUUGCAAUCAGUGGAUAAGGCUGUGGGAGUGAAGAAGGGAUGAUAGUGGAUGAGGCUGUGGGAGCGAAGAAAGACGAAUUGCUACCCUUGCCAAGCACAUCAAUGCCGCCUAAUUAAUAUCCUGUUACUUUCUUUUGUUACUUCCUUUUUUUGCGUUUGAAAUAUUGGAAAUAUACUAGUAUUUGUGUCUAUGUCUAUCAAUCUAACUAGCGUAUUACAUUAUUUGGAUGAUAUUUUGCAAUUGUUAAUUAUGUGGCUGACUUUUUAUUGGAAGCAAAAAA